CGGGAGUGGCAAGCGUUAUCCGGAAUUAUUGGGCGUAAAGCGUCCGCAGGCGGCUUUUCAAGUCUGCUGUUAAAGCGUGGAGCUUAACUCCAUCAUGGCAGUGGAAACUGAAAGGCUUGAGUAUGGUAGGGGCAGAGGGAAUUCCCGGUGUAGCGGUGAAAUGCGUAGAUAUCGGGAAGAACACCAGUGGCGAAGGCGCUCUGCUGGGCCAUUACUGACGCUCAUGGACGAAAGCCAGGGGAGCGAAAGGGAUUAGAUACCCCUGUAGUCCUGGCCGUAAACGAUGAACACUAGGUGUCGGGGGAAUCGACCCCUUCGGUGUCGUAGCUAACGCGUUAAGUGUUCCGCCUGGGGAGUACGCACGCAAGUGUGAAACUCAAAGGAAUUGACGGGGGCCCGCACAAGCGGUGGAGUAUGUGGUUUAAUUCGAUGCAACGCGAAGAACCUUACCAGGGUUUGACAUCCUGCGAACCUCUUAGAAAUUUGAGGGUGCCUUCGGGAAUGCAGUGACAGGUGGUGCAUGGCUGUCGUCAGCUCGUGUCGUGAGAUGUUGGGUUAAGUCCCGCAACGAGCGCAACCCACGUUUUUAGUUGCCAGCAUUUAGUUGGGCACUCUAGAAAGACCGCCGGUGAUAAACCGGAGGAAGGUGUGGAUGACGUCAAGUCAUCAUGCCCCUUACACCCUGGGCUACACACGUACUACAAUGCUACGGACAAAGGGCAGCAAACUCGCGAGAGCUAGCAAAUCCCAUAAACCGUGGCUCAGUUCAGAUCGUAGGCUGCAACUCGCCUACGUGAAGUAGGAAUCGCUAGUAAUCGCAGGUCAGCAUACUGCGGUGAAUACGUUCCCGGGCCUUGUACACACCGCCCGUCACACCAUGGAAGUUGGCCAUGCCCGAAGUCGUUACUCCAACCCUUGUGGAGGAGGACGCCGAAGGUGGGGCUAAUGACUGGGGUGAAGUCGUAACAAGGUAGCCGUACCGGAAGGUGCGGCUG
rnacentral:rRNA from 1 species